GCCAGUGUGGCAUAGUGGUUUGAGUGUUGGACUAUGACUCUGGAGACUAGGGUUCGAAUCCCUGCUCAGCCA